rnacentral:rRNA from 1 species
AUUCCAGCUCUCAAGGUGUAUAUCGCCAUUGCUGCGGUUAAAAAGCUCGUAGUUGGAUCUGCGCCUUCGGACUCGGUCCUCCCAACGGGUGCGAACUGAGCUCCAAGGCUACUACUGCUGGUUUUCCCUUGAUGCUCUUCACUGGGUGUCUUGGGUGGCUAGCGAGUUUACUUUGAAAAAAUUAGAGUGCUCAAAACAGGCUAUUGCCUGAAUACCGGUGCAUGGAAUAAUAGAAUAGGAUCUCGGUCCUAUUUUGUUGGUUUUCGGAACUGAGAUAAUGGUUAAGAGGGACAGACGGGGGCAUUCGUAUCGCUGCGUGAGAGGUGAAAUUCUUGGACCGCAGCGAGACGCCCAACUGCGAAAGCAUUUGCCAAGAAUGUCUUCGUUAAUCAAGAACGAAAGUCAGAGGUUCGAAGGCGAUCAUAUACCGCCCUAGUUCUGACCGUAAACGAUGCCAACUAGCGAUCCGCCGGUGGUAAUUACGCCCCGGCGGGGAGCUUCCCGGAAACGAAAGUCUUCCGGUUCCGGGGGAAGUAUGGUUGCAAAGCUGAAACUUAAAGGAAUUGACGGAAGGGCACCACCAGGAGUGGAGCUUGCGGCUUAAUUUGACCCAACACGGGAAAACUCACCCGGCCCGGACACCGUAAGGAUUGACAGAUUGAGAGCUCUUUCUUGAUUCGGUGGUUGGUGGUGCAUGGCCGUUCUUAGUUGGUGGAGCGAUUUGUCUGGUUUAUUCCGAUAACGAACGAGACUCUGGCCUACUAACUAGUGACAGAAUUAUUGCUGUUCUGGUUACUUCUUAGAGGGACAAGUGGUGUUCAGCCACACGAAAUUGAGCAAUAACAGGUCUGUGAUGCCCUUAGAUGUCCGGGGCUGCACGCGUGCUACACUGGAGGAAACAGCAUGCAAAACCAUUGCCGAGAGGCAUUGGUAAACCCGAGAAUAUCUUCCGUGAUCGGGAUCGGGAAUUGCAAUUAUUUCCCUUGAACGAGGAAUUCCCAGUAAGUGUGGGUCAUCAGCUCGCGCUGAUUACGUCCCUGCCCUUUGUACACACCGCCCGUCGCUGCCCGGGACUGAGCCGUUUCGAGAAAAGCGGGGACUGCUGCUGUUGGGGCUUUCGGGCCUUGGCUUCGGUGGAAACCGCUUUAAUCGCAGUGGCUUGAACCGGGCAAAAGUCGUAACAAGGUUUCCGUAGGUGAACCUGCGGAAG